rnacentral:rRNA from 2 species
GAGCGGCGGACGGGUGAGUAAUGCCUAGGAAAUUGCCCUGAUGUGGGGGAUAACCAUUGGAAACGAUGGCUAAUACCGCAUAAUGCCUACGGGCCAAAGAGGGGGACCUUCGGGCCUCUCGCGUCAGGAUAUGCCUAGGUGGGAUUAGCUAGUUGGUGAGGUAAUGGCUCACCAAGGCGACGAUCCCUAGCUGGUCUGAGAGGAUGAUCAGCCACACUGGAACUGAGACACGGUCCAGACUCCUACGGGAGGCAGCAGUGGGGAAUAUUGCACAAUGGGCGCAAGCCUGAUGCAGCCAUGCCGCGUGUGUGAAGAAGGCCUUCGGGUUGUAAAGCACUUUCAGUCGUGAGGAAGGUGGUGUAGUUAAUAGCUGCAUUAUUUGACGUUAGCGACAGAAGAAGCACCGGCUAACUCCGUGCCAGCAGCCGCGGUAAUACGGAGGGUGCGAGCGUUAAUCGGAAUUACUGGGCGUAAAGCGCAUGCAGGUGGUUUGUUAAGUCAGAUGUGAAAGCCCGGGGCUCAACCUCGGAAUAGCAUUUGAAACUGGCAGACUAGAGUACUGUAGAGGGGGGUAGAAUUUCAGGUGUAGCGGUGAAAUGCGUAGAGAUCUGAAGGAAUACCGGUGGCGAAGGCGGCCCCCUGGACAGAUACUGACACUCAGAUGCGAAAGCGUGGGGAGCAAACAGGAUUAGAUACCCUGGUAGUCCACGCCGUAAACGAUGUCUACUUGGAGGUUGUGGCCUUGAGCCGUGGCUUUCGGAGCUAACGCGUUAAGUAGACCGCCUGGGGAGUACGGUCGCAAGAUUAAAACUCAAAUGAAUUGACGGGGGCCCGCACAAGCGGUGGAGCAUGUGGUUUAAUUCGAUGCAACGCGAAGAACCUUACCUACUCUUGACAUCCAGAGAACUUUCCAGAGAUGGAUUGGUGCCUUCGGGAACUCUGAGACAGGUGCUGCAUGGCUGUCGUCAGCUCGUGUUGUGAAAUGUUGGGUUAAGUCCCGCAACGAGCGCAACCCUUAUCCUUGUUUGCCAGCGAGUAAUGUCGGGAACUCCAGGGAGACUGCCGGUGAUAAACCGGAGGAAGGUGGGGACGACGUCAAGUCAUCAUGGCCCUUACGAGUAGGGCUACACACGUGCUACAAUGGCGCAUACAGAGGGCAGCAAGCUAGCGAUAGUGAGCGAAUCCCAAAAAGUGCGUCGUAGUCCGGAUUGGAGUCUGCAACUCGACUCCAUGAAGUCGGAAUCGCUAGUAAUCGUGGAUCAGAAUGCCACGGUGAAUACGUUCCCGGGCCUUGUACACACCGCCCGUCACACCAUGGGAGUGGG